GACGCGCCCACUGAGGUGGUAACUUAUUUGUUUUUCCUCCUUGUGCCGGGAUUAGUACCGAGAGAAAAGAAAUCAAAUGUCAGAGUUUACUCCCCUCCUUGGAUGGAAAGCGAGCGAGUGCCGUGAGCCCGCGAGCAUUGUUGAUGCAAGUCAGGAGCCAUCCAGUUAGCAGUGGAGCAGUCGCUAUUGUCAGUGAAAUAAAUGUCUGGUUUGGUGAGGGCUCUGCGUAGGGCCCCUCUGGCCCCAGGUAGGGACGGCCCGUUAGCUGGGGCUGGGUUUGUAAGAAAUGGUUCCUAACCAGCUGUGGUUAUGAGAGAGACAAGGUCCCUAUUUUCAGGGGCUGCUUAUUUCUCUGCACAGUUGCAGUGUGUCCUCGGCAGCGGAAGGUUGCAUCCAGGCAGAUGACUCCAGGUGGUGAGUUGCUUCCCUUGCUCCCAUUUUUUUUCUUUGUCUCUCUCUUGUCUAGUGUGUUGACCAACUUUCUCACUCUCUUUCCUCUCCUCUCCUCAUGCCGUCUCCCUUCGUAGGACCACGGGCAUCCGUGCUAGGUGUGCAUCCUAGCCAGGUCUCGGGAGCCACGGAGAAGUAGGAGCGGAUGAAAACCAUGCGGGGCAGUGGGCGCUAAAGUGGAGCUGUGAUUGUCUGUGGUUACUCGGUCUCUGUUCAUCGAGUGGGGCUGAUGUAGAUGGGACUGGAGAGGGAGGCAGGGAUGAGGACAAGACUCGACGCACCAAUAGAGCUCUGUGUAGUGAUAGUUCUUGCUUGACUUUAUUAGUUUGCAGAGGAAUCGUCCAGGAGCCCUAGCCGGACAAGAAUAUGGCAGAAGUGGACCUGAGCAGUCUGGACAUCCUUCUAAGGAGACAUGAAUAGGCCUCAUGUUUCCGCCUUCUGCAUCGCUGGCUGUGAGUAAGAGGACCGAGGGAAAAGAAGUCACGCCUCAGAGUCUCAAGCCCUCAUGUGAUGGAAAGCGAGCCAGAGCAACGAAACCGUGAGCAUUGUUGAUGCCACGCAAAAGCCGUCCUACUGGGAGGGGAACGGCCGCCACUCUCAGUGAGAUAAGUGUCUGGUUUGGUGAUUGCUGUGUUAACAGCCCACCUUGCUCCUGCUAGGGACGCCACAUGAGCUGGGGCUUGGUUUGUAAGAAAAUGUUCUUGACUAGCUGUGGUUAUGAGGGGAGCAAGGUCCUCAUUUUCAGGGUCUGCUCAUUUCUCUGGCCAGGAGUGGUGUCUGCUACGCAGCGGAAGGUUGCAUCUAGGAGGAUGACUCCAGGUGGUGAGUUGCUUGCCUUCCUCCCAGUCUGUCUCUCUCUCUUCUCUAAUGUGUUGGCCAACUUUCUCACUGACCUCUCCUCUCCUCUCCUCUCCUCUCCUCUCCUCUCCUUGUGCCGUCUCCCUUCGUAGGACACGGGCAGGCAUGCUAGGUGUGCAUCCUAGCCAGGUCUCGGGAGCCAUGAAGAAGUAGGAGCAGACGAAAACCAUGUGGGGCAGUGAGCGCUAAAGUGGAGCUGUGACUGUCUGUGUUUACUCGGUCUCUGUUCAUCGAGUGGGGCUGAUGUAGAUGGGACUGGAGAGGGAGGCAGGGAUGAGGGCAAGACUCGAUGCACCAAUAGAGCUCUGUGUAGUGAUAGUUUUUGCUUGACUUUUAGUUUGCAGAGGAAUCAUCCAGGAGCUCUAGCCGGACAAGAAUAUGGCAGAAGUGGACCUGAGCAGCCUGGACAUCCUUCUAAGGAGACAUGAAUAGUCCUCAUGUUUCUGCCUUCUGCAUCACUGGCUGUGAGUAAGAGGUCAGUGCUUUUGAAUUCCUCAUCUGUACUCACUGUAGUUUUCUUCACAGGCCGUGUGCUUCCUCGUUGGGUAUGAGGUUAUGGGAUUAAGGCUGGGGAAGGGAUAAGAAUCUCCUGAGGAAAGUGAGUAUUUUGAGUGCCGUUACAAUGGGUACCUUCUAGUUGCAGUUGUAACGUAGUAAUGGGAGAUGGGUUGAGGGUGGAGAUGUGAAAUGAAGAGACUACGCGACAUUGCAGACGGAGAUGCUAAUAUUUUUGGUUUUCCCACCCUCUGUUAGCUUUAGUACCAAGGAAAACGAAGUCACACGUCAGAGUCUACUGCCCUCAUGCGAUGGAAAGCGAGCAAGAGCAUUGAGACUCUGAGCAUUGUUGAUGCCACACAAAAGCCGUCCAUCUGGGAGCUGAGGAGACGCCGCUAUCAGUGAAAUAGGUGUCUGGUUUGGUGAGGGCUCUGUUUACGCCCAACCUGAGUCCAGGAUGGGAAGCCCACUAAGUUAGGGCUGGGUUUGUAUGAAAAGGUUCCUGACUAACUGUGGUUACGAGGGGGAAAAGGUCCCUAUUUUCAGAGGUUGCUCGUUUCUCUGGUCAGGAACAGUACCUCCUCCGGAGUGGAAGGUUGGAUUCAGGAGGAUGACUCCAGGUGGUCAGUUGCUUACCUUCCUGCCACUUUUUUUCCUUCUCUCUCUCUCUCUCUUCUCUAGUGUGUUGGCCAACUUUCUCAUUCUCUUUUCUCUCUGUUCCUCGUGCCGUCUCCCUUCGUAGGAGACGGGCAGGCUUGCUAGGUGUGCAUCCCCGCAGGCCAGGUUUCGGGAGCCAUGGAAAAGUAGGAGGGGAUGAAAAUCAUGCAGGGCUGUGUCUGUUGGUGUUAACUCGGUCUCUGUUCAUCGAGUGGGGCUGAUGUAGAUGGGACUGGAGAGGGAGGCAGGGCUGAGAGCAAGAUUUCCAGCACCAAUAGAGCUCUGUGUAGUGAUAGUUUUUGCUUGGCUUUAUUAGUUUGCAGAGGAAUUGUCCAGGAGCCCUAGCCGCACAAGAAUAUGGCGGAAGUGGACCUGUGCAGCCUGGACAUCCUUCUAAGGAGACAUGAAUAGUCCUCAUGUUUCUGCCUUCUGCAUCGCUGGCUGUGAGUCAGAGUACCAAGGGAAACGAAGUCACGCGUCAGAGUCUACUGCCCUCAUGCGAUGGAAAGCGAGCGAGAGCGUCGAGACUCUGAGCAUUGUUGAUGCCACGCAAAAGCCGUCCCUCUGGGAGCUGAGGAGACGCUGCUGUCAGUGAGAUAAGUGUCUGGUUUCAUGAGGGCUCUGCUCACGCCCAACCUGAGUCCAGGUAGAGAAGCCCAGUACAGUAGGGCUGGGUUUGUAUGAAAAGGUUCCUGACUAGCUGUGGUCACGAGGGAGAAACGGUCCCUAUUUUGAGAGAUUGCUCAUUUCUCUGGUCAGGAACGGUGUCUCCUCUGCAGCAGAAGGUUGCAUCCAGGAGGAUGACUCCACGUGGUGAGUGCUUACUUUCCUCCGAUGUUUUCCUUUCUCUCUCUCUCUCUCUCUCUCUCUCUCUUCUCUAGUACGUUGGCCAACACACAACCUCUAGCUCUCUCUGUCUGUCCUUGCCUUUCCUCGUGUUGUCUCCCUUCGUAAGACACGGGCAGGCGUGCUACGUGUGCAUCCCCACAGGCUUUGUCUCAGGAGCCAUGGAGAAGUAGGAGGGGACAAAAAUCAUGCAGGGGAGUGGGUGCGAGAGUGGAGCGGUGACUGUCGGUGUGAACUCGGUCUCUGUUCAUCGAGUGGAGCUGAUGUAGAUGGGACUGGAGA